UUCACGGUGCAGAUCUGUACAGGGUAGGAAGGUCCUCUACUCAGGAAGUCUUACAGUUUCUAAGGCUCUCAGUCCCACCUCUAGCAAAUACAAAAAUGCCUCGAUCUAAUUGUCGUUUUUAAUUAUUAUUUAUUAUUUUAAUCUGUGAUUACAAGUCACAAACGAAUUCAGUCAAUUCGUCACCUCUGUGUGAAAAUGGAUAGAGUUGUGGGAAUUAGGAAGAAAUCGAGAAAGAACGAAUGAGUCAGAAGCCUUGCAAACUCAGAAUGAAUGACUUCCUUUUUUGAUCCAACAGUACCAAGAAGACUAAAGUAAAAGAAUGAAAAAGAGAUACCUCAAGUACUGUCCAGGUUGAUGACUGCUCCAUUCACAACAAAUAAGAGAUGGAAUUGACCUAGAUGUCCAUCCACAGAUGAAUGGAUUAAAAUGUAAUACGUGAAGUUGUAUUCAUUCAUAAAGAAAGAAAAAGAAAAUCAUGGCAUUUGUAGGAAAACGUCUUGAAAUUAGAAAUCAUUAUGUUAAGUAAAAUAAGCUAGACUCUGGAAAACAAACUUCUCUAAUUUACG
rnacentral:lncRNA from 1 species